UACAGAGGGUGCGAGCGUUAAUCGGAAUUACUGGGCGUAAAGCGCACGUAGGUGGCUUUGCAAGUCGAUUGUGAAAUCCCCGGGCUUAACCUGGGAACUGCAGUCGAGACUGCUUUGCUUGAGUAUGGGAGAGGGAGGUGGAAUUUCCGGUGUAGCGGUGGAAUGCGCAGAUAUCAGGAGGAACACCAAUGGCGAAGGCAGCUCGCUGGGCUGAUACUGACGCUGAUGCGCGAAAGCCAGGGGAGCGAACGGG
rnacentral:rRNA from 1 species